rnacentral:rRNA from 1 species
CUGUGAGCUCGAUGAGUAGGGCGGGACACGUGGUAUCCUGUCUGAAUAUGGGGGGACCAUCCUCCAAGGCUAAAUACUCCUGACUGACCGAUAGUGAACCAGUACCGUGAGGGAAAGGCGAAAAGAACCCCGGCGAGGGGAGUGAAAAAGAACCUGAAACCGUGUACGUACAAGCAGUGGGAGCACAGAGCAAUCUGUGUGACUGCGUACCUUUUGUAUAAUGGGUCAGCGACUUAUAUUCUGUAGCAAGGUUAACCGAAUAGGGGAGCCGAAGGGAAACCGAGUCUUAACUGGGCGUUAAGUUGCAGGGUAUAGACCCGAAACCCGGUGAUCUAGCCAUGGGCAGGUUGAAGGUUGGGUAACACUAACUGGAGGACCGAACCGACUAAUGUUGAAAAAUUAGCGGAUGACUUGUGGCUGGGGGUGAAAGGCCAAUCAAACCGGGAGAUAGCUGGUUCUCCCCGAAAGCUAUUUAGGUAGCGCCUCGUGAAUUCAUCUCCGGGGGUAGAGCACUGUUUCGGCAAGGGGGUCAUCCCGACUUACCAACCCGAUGCAAACUGCGAAUACCGGAGAAUGUUAUCACGGGAGACACACGGCGGGUGCUAACGUCCGUCGUGAAGAGGGAAACAACCCAGACCGCCAGCUAAGGUCCCAAAGUCAUGGUUAAGUGGGAAACGAUGUGGGAAGGCCCAGACAGCCAGGAUGUUGGCUUAGAAGCAGCCAUCAUUUAAAGAAAGCGUAAUAGCUCACUGGUCGAGUCGGCCUGCGCGGAAGAUGUAACGGGGCUAAACCAUGCACCGAAGCUGCGGCAGCGACGCUUAUGCGUUGUUGGGUAGGGGAGCGUUCUGUAAGCCUGUGAAGGUGUACUGUGAGGUAUGCUGGAGGUAUCAGAAGUGCGAAUGCUGACAUAAGUAACGAUAAAGCGGGUGAAAAGCCCGCUCGCCGGAAGACCAAGGGUUCCUGUCCAACGUUAAUCGGGGCAGGGUGAGUCGACCCCUAAGGCGAGGCCGAAAGGCGUAGUCGAUGGGAAACAGGUUAAUAUUCCUGUACUUGGUGUUACUGCGAAGGGGGGACGGAGAAGGCUAUGUUGGCCGGGCGACGGUUGUCCCGGUUUAAGCGUGUAGGCUGGUUUUCCAGGCAAAUCCGGAAAAUCAAGGCUGAGGCGUGAUGACGAGGCACUACGGUGCUGAAGCAACAAAUGCCCUGCUUCCAGGAAAAGCCUCUAAGCAUCAGGUAACAUCAAAUCGUACCCCAAACCGACACAGGUGGUCAGGUAGAGAAUACCAAGGCGCUUGAGAGAACUCGGGUGAAGGAACUAGGCAAAAUGGUGCCGUAACUUCGGGAGAAGGCACGCUGAUAUGUAGGUGAAGUCCCUCGCGGAUGGAGCUGAAAUCAGUCGAAGAUACCAGCUGGCUGCAACUGUUUAUUAAAAACACAGCACUGUGCAAACACGAAAGUGGACGUAUACGGUGUGACGCCUGCCCGGUGCCGGAAGGUUAAUUGAUGGGGUCAGCGCAAGCGAAGCUCUUGAUCGAAGCCCCGGUAAACGGCGGCCGUAACUAUAACGGUCCUAAGGUAGCGAAAUUCCUUGUCGGGUAAGUUCCGACCUGCACGAAUGGCGUAAUGAUGGCCAGGCUGUCUCCACCCGAGACUCAGUGAAAUUGAACUCGCUGUGAAGAUGCAGUGUACCCGCGGCAAGACGGAAAGACCCCGUGAACCUUUACUAUAGCUUGACACUGAACAUUGAGCCUUGAUGUGUAGGAUAGGUGGGAGGCUUUGAAGUGUGGACGCCAGUCUGCAUGGAGCCGACCUUGAAAUACCACCCUUUAAUGUUUGAUGUUCUAACGUUGACCCGUAAUCCGGGUUGCGGACAGUGUCUGGUGGGUAGUUUGACUGGGGCGGUCUCCUCCUAAAGAGUAACGGAGGAGCACGAAGGUUGGCUAAUCCUGGUCGGACAUCAGGAGGUUAGUGCAAUGGCAUAAGCCAGCUUGACUGCGAGCGUGACGGCGCGAGCAGGUGCGAAAGCAGGUCAUAGUGAUCCGGUGGUUCUGAAUGGAAGGGCCAUCGCUCAACGGAUAAAAGGUACUCCGGGGAUAACAGGCUGAUACCGCCCAAGAGUUCAUAUCGACGGCGGUGUUUGGCACCUCGAUGUCGGCUCAUCACAUCCUGGGGCUGAAGUAGGUCCCAAGGGUAUGGCUGUUCGCCAUUUAAAGUGGUACGCGAGCUGGGUUUAGAACGUCGUGAGACAGUUCGGUCCCUAUCUGCCGUGGGCGCUGGAGAACUGAGGGGGGCUGCUCCUAGUACGAGAGGACCGGAGUGGACGCAUCACUGGUGUUCGGGUUGUCAUGCCAAUGGCACUGCCCGGUAGCUAAAUGCGGAAGAGAUAAGUGCUGAAAGCAUCUAAGCACGAAACUUGCCCCGAGAUGAGUUCUCCCUGACUCCUUGAGAGUCCUGAAGGAACGUUGAAGACGACGACGUUGAUAGGCCGGGUGUGUAAGCGCAGCGAUGCGUUGAGCUAACCGGUACUAAUGAACCGUGAGGCUUAACCUUACAACGCCGAAGGUGUUU